UUUAUGCUCACAUCUACCACCAGCACUUUGAUCCAGUCAUUCAGCUGCAAGAAGAGGCACAUCUCAACACAUCCUUCAAGCACUUUAUCUUUUUUGUUCAGGAAUUUAACCUUAUAGACAGAAGAGAACUUGCUCCACUUCAAGAACUGAUUGAAAAACUCACUUCAAAGGACAGAUAAGCAGAAAAACCCACCCAACGUCUUGCAUCUGUGGAGGACUAAGGACAGCCUGGGGGUUGACCACUUUCUUCUUUGUUGCUUGCAUUUGUUCUUCAAACAUUCAACUUUCCUUUAGAUUAGCCAGCCUGAUUUUGAUGAUCACAGGCGGUCAAACUGUACUGUAAGCUUUCUUACCCGUAUAAAUCAGUAGCCUUGCCAGAGCAUCAAGAGGAAACAAGGGGAAGUUGUUUACGGAGAA